rnacentral:rRNA from 1 species
UACGAAGGGGGCUAGCGUUGUUCGGAUUUACUGGGCGUAAAGCGCGUGUAGGCGGGGCGUUAAGUUGGGGGGGAAAUCCCGAGGCUCAACCUCGGAACUGCCUUCAAAACUGGCGACCUGGAGCAAAGAAGAGGCGAGUGGAAUUGCGAGUGUAGAGGUGAAAUUCGUAGAUAUUCGCAGGAACACCAGUGGCGAAGGCGAGUCUCUGGACGACUCCUGACACUGAGGCACGAAAGCUGGGGGAGCAAACAGG